UGGAUGUGAUGACUGAUUAUCUGAUAUGCUGAUGAAACUGUUGCCGAAGUCCUCUAGAUAGUCAAGUGCUGAUCCAG
rnacentral:snoRNA from 1 species